UGCCUGGGUUAUCUGCAGCUGGAGAUAGCCUGGGAACUGCAGCUGCCAAGGGGAAAAAUGUUCCACUGUGGGCAGCACCAAGCAUUCCUGGAUGUGCUCACAGGGAUUUUUUGGAGGCUUGUGGGACAUUUUUAAACAUGGCCCCACCAAGUCCUGUCACCUUCAGGCAUGCACAGCAGGAUUCCCAGGAGAAACUGGGGGUGAUGGAGGUGUUUUCACAAACUUUGCUAAGAGCACCUGGGCUGGAAAACUUACAGUGUCUGUCCCCUCUUUAAUGGGAAUAGUUCUCUGAGGGGGAAUUUAGGCAGCUGUGCCACAUCUCCCUCUGUCUGGGGAGGCAUAUCUGAUCGAUGAUGCAGCCCUGGAGACUCACUGCACCAAAGGCUCCACACUUCCCAUCCAAGUUUUCCAGCAGAAAGGGUGGAGACCACAGGACAAAGCAUCAGACAAGCAGAUGCAAUUUGCAAAACUGGAGGUGUUCUGCUUUUACCAUUUAUCCCUGCUCAGGUUGAACCAAGGCUUUCUCUUCUUGUGAAUAUCAAAAUAUACAAAAUAUAAGCCUGUAAUAAAGUCCAAGAUGAAAUUCA